rnacentral:misc_RNA from 1 species
UUUCCGUAGGUGAACCUGCGGAAGGAUCAUUAACACUUUAAUGAGCAUCCAAAACCUCUUUUGGAUCAACCCAACCUCUUAGCGAACCGAUUGGCAAUUUUCCCUUGCCCCCUUUUUUAAACUACUCUGAACAUCAUUUGUGUCUGAAUCUUUGCGCUUGAGCUUGGGCUUUGGCUUUCUUCGGGAAGCGAAGCGAAGCGAAAGCGCGAAAAAACUCUAACGCAAUACAACUCUUAACAACGGAUAUCUUGGCUCUC